rnacentral:piRNA from 1 species
UGCAAACAAGCAUGGCUGCCUCACU